GCCUGGACAGCUCAGUUGGUUAGAGUGUGUUGUUGAUAUAAUGGUUGCAGGUUUGAUCCCUGUAUGGGACG